GGUGCAUUGCUGCUCUUCCCAGAGAGCGAGGAGACACUGGACCUUGAAGACCUCCUGGAUCUCCAGAGCUGAGCAACAACACAGGGCCAUUUUGUGAUGAAGAAUUUUGCCUCUUGACUCAUCUUCAGGGAAGUGGCUGGGGUUAUGUAUGAACAUUAAUGUGAAAAAAGCCCAAUGUGUGUGCUUUUUAUCUGAAAAUUGCUCUUCAAUUGAAUUAAACCUUGACCUGUUUCCCAUCAGAA